rnacentral:rRNA from 1 species
UACGAAGGGUGCAAGCGUUAAUCGGAAUUACUGGGCGUAAAGGGUGCGUAGGCGGUUCGUUAAGUCUGUUGUGAAAUCCCCGGGCUCAACCUGGGAAUGGCAAUGGAUACUGGCUGGCUAGAGUGUGUCAGAGGAUGGUGGAAUUCCCGGUGUAGCGGUGAAAUGCGUAGAGAUCGGGAGGAACAUCAGUGGCGAAGGCGGGCAUCUGGGACGACACUGACGCUGAAGCACGAAAGCGUGGGGAGCAAACAGG